UACGGAGGGUGCAAGCGUUAAUCGGAAUUACAGGGCGUAAAGCGCACGCAGGCGGUUGGAUAAGUUAGAUGUGAAAGCCCCGGGCUCAACCUGGGAAUUGCAUUUAAAACUGUCCGGCUAGAGUCUUGUAGAGGGGGGUAGAAUUCCAGGUGUAGCGGUGAAAUGCGUAGAGAUCUGGAGGAAUACCGGUGGCGAAGGCGCCCCCCUGGACAAAGACUGACGCUCAGGUGCGAAAGCGUGGGGAGCAAACAGG
rnacentral:rRNA from 1 species